CCUACGGGAGGCAGCAGUGAGGAAUAUUGGUCAAUGGGCUUACGCCUGAACCAGCCAAGUCGCGUGAGGGAAGACUGCCCUAUGGGUUGUAAACCUCUUUUGUCAGGGAGCAAUUGGCGCUACGUGUAGCGUUAUCGAGAGUACCUGAAGAAAAAGCAUCGGCUAACUCCGUGGCAGCAGCCGCGGUAAUACGGAGGAUGCGAGCGUUAUCCGGAUUUAUUGGGUUUAAAGGGUGCGUAGGCGGAAUGCCAAGUCAGCGGUAAAAUCGCGGGGCUCAACCUCGCUCCGCCGUUGAAACUGGCGUUCUUGAGUGGGCGAGAAGUAUGCGGAAUGCGUGGUGUAGCGGUGAAAUGCAUAGAUAUCACGCAGAACUCCGAUUGCGAAGGCAGCAUACCGGCGCCCAACUGACGCUGAAGCACGAAAGCGUGGGUAUCGAACAGGAUUAGAUACCCGGGUAGUC
rnacentral:rRNA from 1 species